GACUCCUACGGGAGGCAGCAGUGAGGAAUAUUGGACAAUGGGCGCAAGCCUGAUCCAGCCAUGCCGCGUGCAGGAUGACGGUCCUAUGGAUUGUAAACUGCUUUUGUACAGGAAGAAACACUCCCUCGUGAGGGAGCUUGACGGUACUGUAAGAAUAAGGAUCGGCUAACUCCGUGCCAGCAGCCGCGGUAAUA
rnacentral:rRNA from 1 species